UGGCAGCAAUGCCAGACUUAAAAUCGAAAGUGCGCCAACUGAGAAAGUGAAUUGGCUGGUUCGGUCAACGGCCAUUCCUUCGUUAAAUUCACCUGUAUGAUACGUGCCUGCGUUACUACCAACUACAUAUCUAUGCAAUAGAAUAAAAUAAAAUGCCCCAGCAACAGCUGGAAUCAUUAAACUGACAUAGUAAUUGUUGAGAAACCGUUUAUACUCACGCAACUCCGAUAAGGCGAUCCUCGUCCAGGAAGCAAGUAUCAGGAAACCGAUCAGAGUAUUCAUGCUUGCCGUUUUAUCCACGUUUCUUUUACUUUGUACACACUGGACUAUGUGUAUUGUUGUUUUACGUUUAGUGAACUAAUUGUAAUGUUGUCAGUGGCGAUAUUGAAAAUGCGUACGAUGGCCCCAGUAUGCCGGUAUUUAUAAACUACAUGCACUUUCUCCGGUUGUACCCCACUCUUACAAGCACUAGGUGAAUUUAUCACGGUAGAAUGCCCCCUUUUAACUCAGUCAGGGCCGUAACUCCCUGGUACCCCUACUCAAUUAUUGACAAAUCCUUCAUGCCAGACGUCUUCUCGUUAAUUCAUUCCGGAUGGACGUUAGAAUCUCCUCCUUCCGGGAAUUACGAGUAUAGAUGGGAUGUUGAUAAUAACGUGGAUUAUCCAGCCGGCCUUUGUCGCGAUGCUAAUCAAGCCGUUGCAUCGAUACGUCGAUAGGAAUUAUUUUUAAUUAGAAAAGUUUCCUCAUAAAAUAAGUAUAAGGUAUGUCAGAGCCAAACGUCUGAGUCAUCCGGAGAACUUUGGCAGUUGGUACUGAAACGAGGUACGAAGCUGUGGGAAAGUAUGACAGCUGUCUAAAUUGACAGAUAAAUUUUAGCUGUAUACUCAAUAAAGGAGGGAGUAUUAAUAAACAAUAAUUAUAGUAUAUAAUUGUGUAGACUACCUGUGUACAGUGUAAUAGGUGCUAUUUAUAAAUAUAUAAAUAAAGACCUUAAUUAUUACAGUAUAUAAAAACCAGACUUAUUGUCACUCAAUAGGCAGUGUCUUAUACAUCUUGUAAAUCAUUGAAUCAGCCAUUUUUUCACUUAAAGCUUUACUAGCCAAGUCGUCAGCCAACAUGGCGGCUACUGCUUCGGCAGCCAUUAAACCUGUAAAAGAAAGUUACUGUAGUGACAGAGUUUACCGGUGAGCUUGUAGUUUUCCGUUGAUUAUAACAGGUUCCAGGUGAAGAGGAACCCUCAAAGGGU